AACGGUACCUAUUGUCAUGUCGAAAGGAUGUAUUAAAAUAUUUUUUAGUUUUAUUCGCUCAUUUUCGAUUUUAGUUAUCCACUGUGGUUGACCUUUAGGUACCGUUAUAAACCACAUCUAAUGUUUUUUGUUUGUUAUUUGAGUCUGAUUUGGAUCUGGUUAAAAUUAUGUUUGCGAGGCAAUGCUUGAACGGGUCUCUGACAUGAUGGAAAAGGAUUUGAUUCUUGUUGGUGCAACUGUUGUCGAGGAUAAGCUGCAACAAGGGGUUUGGUUUCAAUGUUUCCACUGGGGUUGACCUCUUGGUACCGUUAUAAAGCAUCUUCUCCGAGAUCGGCUGCUGCUUAUGUUAAUCCUCAUCGUCGUCUUCUGUUCAGAUCUGGUUUAAUACCGAUCUAGAGAACUAAAGGCUAGGGUUCAACUAACUAACUGGCAGUUAACUUCUCCGCGAUCCGCUGCUGCUCGUGUUAAUCCUCAUCGUCUUCUGUUCAAAUCUGGUUUUAAUACUGGUGAUAACUCUGGACCCAGCACUAGAGAGACCCAGCACUAGAGAGACGUUUCCAGCCCGUAAAGGUACCCAAGCCCACAGUUGAUGAAACCAUACAGAUUUUAAAGAGGCUUCGAGAACGAUGUGAAAUUCACCAUAAACUCCGUUACACCGAUGAUGCUCUGGUAGCUGCUGCCCAGCUGUCAUAACAGUACAUAAGUGAUCGUUUUCUGCCUGAUAAGGCUAUUGAUUUAAUCGAUGAAGCCGGUUCUCGUGUUAGACUUCAUCAUGCACAACUCCCAGAAGAAGCUAGAGAGCUCGAGAAAGAACUCAGGCAGAUAACAAAAGAAAAGAACGAAGCUGUUUGUGGCCAAGAUUUCAAAAAGGCUGGGGAGUUGCGUGAUCGGGAAAUGGAUCUUAAAACUCAAAUAUCCACUCUUGUGGACAAAAACAAAGAGAUGAGCAAAGCCAAGACCGAGGCGGGAGAAGAAGGCCCUACCGUAACUGAAGUGGACAUUCAGCACAUUGUCUUAUCAGGUGUAGAAUAGAGACAUGCAGCAUGUGAGAUUAUUCCGCGAAGAGGCGUCAGUGGUGACUACCGGAAGUGGAGAUGACCUCUGGUCACCGGACAAGUGAUGAUUGACGAUGGUAGCAGCUUGGUUAUCAGGAUAUGUAUGAGAUUAUGGCACUGGAUAGAGGUGAUGAACUGCCGCAGGUGAUGAUGUCGCUAACGCGAGACGGGCAACUCUACCCGAGCCUCGCUAAAGGUUGAAAAGAUGUGAACAGCUCGGUUGAAAAGAGGGAACAGUGGUCAGAAGGGUGAAAAGAGGGAACAGUGGUGAGAAGCAUGCUCUGUACAACAUCUACUUUUGUUUUGUCAACUGUAAAGCUGGGUUGAAAAGUAAAUGUCAAAAGUACAACAUCUACUGUUGAAAAGCAUGCUCUGUGCCCCCAUUUUUUUAUUUGUUGUGCCCCUAAAACCAAUGAGCCGGCCCUUUUUGACAGUUACAUCUCUUGUUUUCUAAUUAGCCAUAUUUUUAGUUUC